rnacentral:rRNA from 1 species
AUGCAAGUCGAACGAAGCCUUCGGGCUUAGUGGCGCACGGGUGCGUAACGCGUGGGAAUCUGCCCUUGGGUUCGGAAUAACUCAGAGAAAUUUGAGCUAAUACCGGAUGAUGUCGAAAGACCAAAGAUUUAUCGCCCAGGGAUGAGCCCGCGUAGGAUUAGCUAGUUGGUGAGGUAAAAGCUCACCAAGGCGACGAUCCUUAGCUGGUCUGAGAGGAUGAUCAGCCACACUGGGACUGAGACACGGCCCAGACUCCUACGGGAGGCAGCAGUGGGGAAUAUUGGACAAUGGGCGAAAGCCUGAUCCAGCAAUGCCGCGUGAGUGAUGAAGGCCUUAGGGUUGUAAAGCUCUUUUACCCGGGAUGAUAAUGACAGUACCGGGAGAAUAAGCCCCGGCUAACUCCGUGCCAGCAGCCGCGGUAAUACGGAGGGGGCUAGCGUUAUUCGGAAUUACUGGGCGUAAAGCGCACGUAGGCGGCUUUGUAAGUCAGAGGUGAAAGCCUGGAGCUCAACUCCAGAACUGCCUUUGAGACUGCAUCGCUUGAAUCCAGGAGAGGUGAGUGGAAUUCCGAGUGUAGAGGUGAAAUUCGUAGAUAUUCGGA